AUGAAGCUCUAUUGUGAUAAUAAGUCAGUUAUCAGUAUACCACAUAAUCCAGUUCAACAUGAUCGAACUAAGUAUAUUGAGGUUGAUAGACACUUCAUUAAGGAGAAGCUUGGUAGUGGGUUGAUUUGCACCCCAUAUAUGUCCUCACAAGGGCAACUUGUAAAUAUUCUCACUAAAGGAUUGAGUAGCACUAAUUUUGAACGAAUUGUAUCCAAGUUGAGAAUGAAGAAUACUUAUUCACCAGUUUGA